rnacentral:rRNA from 1 species
UACAGAGGGGGCGAGCGUUAUUCGGAAUUAUUGGGCGUAAAGGGCAGGUAGGCGGCUUCAUGUGUCUUCUGUGAAAGCCCUCGGCUCAACCGAGGAACUGCAGAGGAAACUGUGAGGCUUGAGUCCGGGAGAGGGUAGUGGAAUUCCCAGUGUAGCGGUGAAAUGCGUAGAUAUUGGGAGGAACACCAGUGGCGAAGGCGGCUACCUGGACCGGUACUGACGCUGAUCUGCGAAAGCCAGGGGAGCGAACGGG